UACGUAGGCAGCAAGCGUUGUUCGGAAUUACUGGGCGUAAAGAGUGUGUAGGCGGUGCUCUAAGUUCGGUGUGAAAUCUCCUGGCUCAACUGGGAGGGUGCGCCGGAAACUGGGGUGCUGGAGCGCGGGAGAGGAAAGCGGAAUUCCUGGUGUAGCGGUGAGAUGCGUAGAUAUCAGGAGGAACACCGGCGGUGUAGACGGCUUUCUGGACCGUAGCUGACGCUGAGACACGAAAGCGUGGGGAGCGAACAGG
rnacentral:rRNA from 1 species